UUAUGUCAAAGGACUACCGCAUCCCUGAUAUUUCAAAACCUGGUGUAUGGAAGAUUACAGCACAUUACAAAGGUGACGAGAAAAAUGCUGCAGUGCGUGAAUUCAAGGUCCAGAAGUUUGUUCUUCCCAGCUUUGGGGUUUCUAUUCAUUCAGAGAAAGCCUUUCUGCUUGUGAAUGCUGAGAUAUUUACAUUCACCAUUAAAGCCUCGUAAGUUCACAU